rnacentral:rRNA from 1 species
CCUACGGGAGGCAGCAGUGGGGAAUAUUGCACAAUGGUGGGAACCCUGAUGCAGCGACGCCGCGUGAGUGAAGAAGUAUUUCGGUAUGUAAAGCUCUAUCAGCAGGGAAGAAAAUGACGGUACCUGACUAAGAAGCCGCGUCUAACUACGUGACAGCAGCCGCGGGAAUACGGAGGGGGCAAGCGUUAUCCGGAUUUACUGGGUGUAAAGGGAGCGUAGACGGUUAUGCAAGUCUGAAGUGAAAGCCCAAGGCUCAACCAUGGGACUGCUGUGGAAACUGUAAACCUGGAGUGCAGGAGAGGUAUGCGGAAUGCCCGGUGUAGCGGUGAAAUGCAUAGAUAUUGGGCAGAACACCAGUGGCGAAGGCGGUUUACUGGCCUGUAACUGACGUUGAGGCUCGAAGGCGUGGGGAGCGAACAGGAUUAGAUACCCCAGUAGUC